CUUGGCUCCAAGUGCUGUUUGAGCUGUAGGAGGUUGCUGUAAUCAUUUUCUUGUGGUAUUGGAGAUUUUGGCCCAGAUAACUUAUGAUUCAAAACAGAAUAUAUUUCAUGAGAAAAGGGUGGUUUCCUGAAAUUUUCUUCAUAAAGGGACAAGUUAGUUUAGAUGAGUCAUCCGUUUAUGGUGAUAUUUUAGCAUUUUGUAGAUUUUGUAGAAGGAUUAAGUCAGAAUUUGUGAACCACUGGAAAUUGGAGUGGAAAGUAUUCAUAAAGUUGAG
rnacentral:misc_RNA from 1 species